AGUUGCGUGACUGACGGAGAGUGGGAUAACCCACGGGGAGCGCAACAUUUUGAAGCCGACCGUCUGGGCAACCG
rnacentral:ncRNA from 1 species